rnacentral:rRNA from 1 species
UACGGGGGGGGCAAGCGUUGUUCGGAAUUACUGGGCGUAAAGCGCGUGUAGGCGGCCAUGCAAGUCGGAUGUGAAAGCCCUCGGCUCAACCGGGGAAGUGCACUCGAAACUGCAAGGCUAGAGUCUCGGAGAGGAUCGUGGAAUUCUCGGUGUAGAGGUGAAAUUCGUAGAUAUCGAGAGGAACACCGGUGGCGAAGGCGGCGAUCUGGACGAUGACUGACGCU